rnacentral:rRNA from 1 species
ACUGAGUUUGAUCCUGGCUCAGAUUGAACGCUGGCGGUAUGCCUUACACAUGCAAGUCGAACGGUAGAGGAGCAAUCCUCGAGAGUGGCGAACGGGUGAGUAAUACAUCGGAACGUGCCCAGUCGUGGGGGAUAACGUAGCGAAAGCUACGCUAAUACCGCAUACGACCCGAGGGUGAAAGCGGGGACUCGCAAGAGCCUCGCGCGAUUGGAGCGGCCGAUGGCAGAUUAGGUAGUUGGUGGGUAAAGGCCACCAAGCCUGCGAUCUGUAGCUGGUCUGAGAGGACGACCAGCCACACUGGAACUGAGACACGGUCCAGACUCUACGGGAGCAGCAGUGGGGAAUUUCCGCAAUGGGCGCAAGCCUGACGAGCAACGCCGCGUGAGGAUGAA